rnacentral:rRNA from 1 species
GACGAACGCUGACGGCGUGCUUAACACAUGCAAGUCGAACGGAAAGGCCCUGCUUUUGUUGGGUUCUCGAGUGGCGAACGUGUGUGUAACACGUGGGUAUCCUGCCCUUGACUUUGGGAUAACUUCAGAAAACUUGGUCUAAUACCGGAUAGGAGUUCCUGCUGCAUGGAUGGGGUUGGAAAGUUUCGGCGGUUGGGGAUGGACUCGCGGCUUAUCAGCUUGUUGGUGGGGUAGUGGCUUACCAAGGCGUUGAAGGGUAGCCGGCCUGAGAGGGUGACCGGGCAAAAUGGGAAUGAGGUAAGGGCCAGAAUCCUAAGGGGAGGAGCAGGGGGGAAUAUUGGAAAAUGGGAGGAAGAGUGAGACAGAAAAGUUGCGUGUGGGCUAUGAGCUUUUGCGUAGUAAAAAGCGUUUGCAUGUGAGGAAGAGUGAGUGACGGUAAUAGCUAAAGAAGCAACGGCUAAAUACGUG